GUGAAUCAUCGAAUCUUUGAACGCACAUUGCGCCCGCCGGUACUCCGGCGGGCAUGCCUGUUCGAGCGUCAUUUCAACCCUCAAGCCCAGCUUGGUGUUGGGGCGGCCGGGCCCUCCGCGGCCCCGCGCCCCCAAGUCGAUCGGCGGGCUCGUCGGACUCUGAGCGUAGUAACUCGCGGUAAAACGCGCCUCGCUCGGCAGGUUCAGGCGGGUUCCAGCCGCUAAACUCCCCCACUUAUCAAAAGGUUGACCUCGGAUCAGGUAGGAAUACCCGCUGAACUUAAGCAUAUCAAUAAGCGG
rnacentral:misc_RNA from 1 species